rnacentral:tRNA from 1 species
UGUCAAGGGAUGGGAAUAUAACCCACAGUGUUCUGCCUCCCAGGCAGAUGCCAUGUCCACUAGGCUACCCUGGAC